rnacentral:rRNA from 1 species
UACGUAGGUGGCAAGCGUUGUCCGGAUUUACUGGGCGUAAAGAGCGCGCAGGCGGUCGUUCAAGUCGCGUGUGAAAGCCCCCGGCUCAACUGGGGAGGGUCACGCGAUACUGAUCGACUCGAAGGCAGGAGAGGGUAGUGGAAUUCCCGGUGUAGUGGUGAAAUGCGUAGAUAUCAGGAGAACGACCAAUAGCGAAAGGCAGCUCGCUGGGACGGUACUGACGCUAAGGCGCGAAAGCGUGGGGAGCGAACAGG